CGUUGGCCUCUUCUCUCGCAACAGAAAUAUCCCCGAGCCACGCGCGCCCUCACUUGGUACGGCGCAAUUGUUUGUUUUGAUGGAGCUGACGAACGCCACCGGGACGCUCUCGUGCUUGUUUCCGUCUUGUCCUUGCUUCUCCGGAGAGCAGUGUAUUAUGCCAAUUGCUGAUCGAUAAAAGAAGGAAGCUGAAAUUUAAGGGGUGACGAAAAGGACAAGACGAACGCUGGACUUGGAUAGUUGUACUGCUGCGUGGGCCGAUGCUUCAGCGGCCGAAAAUGCUGAAGGUCCACGCAAUAAGCACAUGAAAGCUGAGACGGAAAGCUCUGGAUCCCUGCUCUAUCUGUUCGCAAGGCCAAAAUCAACUUGCAUUUGAAAAUGAUUAUUUCUUUUUCUAUUUUGCUCCUUUUCCUCAUUCGAAGGCACCAAAAAACACUGGAUGCACUCUCACUGUACACUAAGCUGUGCAUUUUAUUGCAAUAUUUGGCUUCAGAAACAAUAUUUACACUUUAAAUGUAGCAAUGUUCUGAAUGGUAUGCAAAAAUAAAAAAAAUGAUGCUAGUAAUCACAGAGUUUGCAGCGC